ensembl:lncRNA
GGAAAUUGAGGCACUGAGAUGUUAAGCGGCUUGCCCAGGACCUCUUGCCUGAUAUGCAUGUUCCUGGUUAUGCAUGCUUGAAUGCAUGUUCCUGGCUGGACCACAUCCCGAGCUGCCUUGGAUGAACCGGGGGCCCCGUGCAUGCUGGUCAGUGUGUUCUGAAAGAGGCCUCCCUUGCAUGGCCCCUCAGCCAGUGGCCGGCUGGCCAUCAUCUCAGAGGGGACUUUUACAGAGCCAGUCCUUGCUGGGGGUGGUCAAGGAAGCCCCAGAUGGUGGAGACAGAGCUGGGAAAGCUUGUUCAUCUCUGAGUGCCAGCACCUGGGUCUAGCAAGGCUGUUGGAGAGGUCAGUACCAGGGAGAGACCCCACAGCCGACCUUACAGGAGGAAAACAGAUCACUUGGGUGUGGCAGGGUCUUGGCCCCCAGGGAGCUGGGAGAGAGGGCGUGGAUGGGCAUGGAGGCUGCUGAGGGGUGCUGAAGGGGCUCUCGGGGUACACGGGGCAUAGAGAGCACUACCCUCUGUGUCCCUUCGCCUAUUUGCAUGUGCACACUGGGGUAGUCACAUCUGUUCCUUGUUAGGCACUCGACAGACAGGCCUCCAGAAGAUUAAUUAAUGCCAAGCUGCUGGCAGCUCCAGCAGGAUGCUUGCCCCAGGGUCCUGUCCUGGCAGCACAGAUGCCCAGCUGACCCCAGCGUGCUACCACAUUCUCAUCCAGAGACGCAGGGGGCCAUGUUGCAGGCACAGCCCUGCCCCGAGCCUGGGUGGCAGAGAAGGCUAAGGCUCUGGUGAGUGGCCAGAGCCAGGUGGCAGAGCAUCCCAUCCCUAGGCCCGCCUCCAUCACCCGCUCCGAAACUUAUUUGUCCCUGACUGAAGCCUGGACUUGCUCUGUGACCCUGGCCACGCCGCCUCUCCUCUCUGGGCAGCUUGCUUUUCCCCAACCAUAAAAUGAUCUGAAAUGGAUGUUGGGCUGGGUCAUCACUGAGGCACCCGCCUCCGCCAAGUCUGAGUCUUUG